CACCUUGGCCGACAGGCCCGGGU
rnacentral:siRNA from 1 species